UACGGAGGGAGCUAGCGUUGUUCGGAAUUACUGGGCGUAAAGGGCUCGUAGGCGGCCAACUAAGUCAGACGUGAAAUCCCUCGGCUUAACCGGGGAACUGCAUCUGAUACUGGAUGGCUUGAGUUCGGGAGAGGGAUGCGGAAUUCCAGGUGUAGCGGUGAAAUGCGUAGAUAUCUGGAGGAACACCGGUGGCGAAGGCGGCAUCCUGGACCGACACUGACGCUGAGGAGCGAAAGCCAGGGGAGCAAACGGG
rnacentral:rRNA from 1 species